GAUGAAGAACGCAGCGAAAUGCGAUAAGUAAUGUGAAUUGCAGAAUUCAGUGAAUCAUCGAAUCUUUGAACGCACCUUGCACCCUUUGGUAUUCCGAAGGGUAUGCUCGUUUGAGUGUCAUUGUACUCUCACACUUCUAAUUCCUUUCGGGAUUGGGAGCGGUGGACUUGGGUGUUGCUGCUUUAGUUGUGGCUCACCUCAAAUAAGUUAGUGCAACUCUUGGUUGGACAUAGUACGGCGUGAUAAGUGUCUUCGCCGGCGCCUCUGUAAGGAGGGUGGCCGAUCGGGAGCUCUGUGCUUCAAACCGUCUUCGGACAAUCUUUGACAACUUGACCUCAAAUCGAGUAGGACUACCCGCUGAACUUAAGCAUAUCGAUAAGCGGAGGA
rnacentral:misc_RNA from 1 species